GGAAGUGUCAUAGCUCAGUGGGAGAGCAGCUGCUCUGCAUGCAGAAGGUUCCUGGUUCAAUUCCACGCAUCUCCC